GUAGCAAUACUUUGGUGGCGACCGGCGCACGGGUGCGUAACGCGUAUGUAACCUACCUAUAACAGGGGCAUAACACUGAGAAAUUGGUACUAAUUCCCCAUAAUAUUCGGAGAGGCAUCUCUCCGGGUUGAAAACUCCGGUGGUUAUAGAUGGACAUGCGUUGUAUUAGCUAGUUGGUGAGGUAACGGCUCACCAAGGCAACGAUACAUAGGGGGACUGAGAGGUUAACCCCCCACACUGGUACUGAGACACGGACCAGACUCCUACGGGAGGCAGCAGUGAGGAAUAUUGGUCAAUGGACGCAAGUCUGAACCAGCCAUGCCGCGUGCAGGAAGACGGCUCUAUGAGUUGUAAACUGCUUUUGUACGAGGGUAAACUCACCUACGUGUAGGUGACUGAAAGUAUCGUACGAAUAAGGAUCGGCUAACUCCGUGCCAGCAGCCGCGGUAAUACGGAGGAUUCAAGCGUUAUCCGGAUUUAUUGGGUUUAAAGGGUGCGUAGGCGGUUUGAUAAGUUAGAGGUGAAAUCCCGGGGCUUAACUCCGGAACUGCCUCUAAUACUGUUAGACUAGAGAGUAGUUGCGGUAGGCGGAAUGUAUGGUGUAGCGGUGAAAUGCUUAGAGAUCAUACAGAACACCGAUUGCGAAGGCAGCUUACCAAACUAUAUCUGACGUUGAGGCACGA
rnacentral:rRNA from 1 species